rnacentral:rRNA from 1 species
GUAUCGCAUGAUACAGUGUGAAAACACUCCGGUGGUAUGAGAUGGACUCGCGUCUGAUUAGCUAGUUGGUGAGGUAACGGCCCACCAAGGCGACGAUCAGUAGCCGGCCUGAGAGGGUGAACGGCCACAUUGGGACUGAGACACGGCCCAAACUCCUACGGGAGGCAGCAGUGGGGAAUAUUGCACAAUGGGGGAAACCCUGAUGCAGCGACGCCGCGUGGAGGAAGAAGGUCUUCGGAUUGUAAACUCCUGUUGUUGAGGAAGAUAAUGACGGUACUCAACAAGGAAGUGACGGCUAACUACGUGCCAGCAGCCGCGGUAAAACGUAGGUCACAAGCGUUGUCCGGAAUUACUGGGUGUAAAGGGAGCGCAGGCGGGAAGACAAGUUGGAAGUGAAAUCCAUGGGCUCAACCCAUGAACUGCUUUCAAAACUGUUUUUCUUGAGUAGUGCAGAGGUAGGCGGAAUUCCCGGUGUAGCGGUGGAAUGCGUAGAUAUCGGGAGGAACACCAGUGGCGAAGGCGGCCUACUGGGCACCAACUGACGCUGAGGCUCGAAAGUGUGGGUAGCAAACAGGAUUAGAUACCCUGGUAGUCCACACCGUAAACGAUGAUUACUAGGUGUUGGAGGAUUGACCCCUUCAGUGCCGCAGUUAACACAAUAAGUAAUCCACCUGGGGAGUACGACCGCAAGGUUGAAACUCAAAGGAAUUGACGGGGGCCCGCACAAGCAGUGGAGUAUGUGGUUUAAUUCGACGCAACGCGAAGAACCUUACCAAGUCUUGACAUCCUGAUGACGGUUCCUUAACCGGAACUUCUCUUCGGAGCAUCAGAGACAGGUGGUGCAUGGUUGUCGUCAGCUCGUGUCGUGAGAUGUUGGGUUAAGUCCCGCAACGAGCGCAACCCUUAUCAUUAGUUGCUACGCAAGAGCACUCUAAUGAGACUGCCGUUGACAAAACGGAGGAAGGUGGGGAUGACGUCAAAUCAUCAUGCCCCUUAUGAUUUGGGCUACACACGUGCUACAAUGGCAGUUACAAAGAGAAGCAAACCUGUGAAGGCGAGCAAACCUCAAAAAGGCUGUCUCAGUUCGGAUUGUAGUCUGCAACUCGACUACAUGAAGCUGGAAUCGCUAGUAAUCGCGAAUCAGAAUGUCGCGGUGAAUACGUUCCCGGGUCUUGUACACACCGCCCGUCACACCAUGGGAGUCGGUAACGCCCGAAGUCAGUGACCCAACCGCAAGGAGGGAGCUGCCGAAGGCAGGUUCGAUAACUGGGGUGAAGUCGUAACAAGGUAGCCGUAUCGGAAGGUGCGGCUG